GAAACGGCUGCUAAUACCCCAUAUGCCGCGAGGUGAAAUGAACUUCGCCUGAGGAUGAGCUCGCGUCUGAUUAGCUAGUUGGUGUGGGUAAUGGCUCACCAAGGCAUCGAUCAGUAGCUGGUCUGAGAGGAUGAUCAGCCACACUGGGACUGAGACACGGCCCAGACUCCUACGGGAGGCAGCAGUGGGGAAUUUUCCGCAAUGGGCGAAAGCCUGACGGAGCAACGCCGCGUGAGGGAUGAAGGCCUCUGGGCUGUAAACCUCUUUUAUCAAGGAAGAAGAUCUGACGGUACUUGAUGAAUAAGCCACGGCUAAUUCCGUGCCAGCAGCCGCGGUAAUACGGGAGUGGCAAGCGUUAUCCGGAAUUAUUGGGCGUAAAGCGUCCGCAGGCGGCCCUUCAAGUCUGCUGUUAAAAAGUGGAGCUUAACUCCAUCAUGGCAGUGGAAACUGUUGGGCUUGAGUGUGGUANGGGCAGAGGGAAUUCCCGGUGUAGCGG
rnacentral:rRNA from 1 species